rnacentral:rRNA from 1 species
CCUACGGGUGGCAGCAGUGAGGAAUAUUGGUCAAUGGACGCGAGUCUGAACCAGCCAAGUAGCGUGAAGGAUGACUGCCCUACGGGUUGUAAACUUCUUUUAUAAAGGAAUAAAAUGAGGCACGUGUGCCUUUUUGCAUGUACUUUAUGAAUAAGGAUCGGCUAACUCCGUGCCAGCAGCCGCGGUAAUACGGAGGAUCCGAGCGUUAUCCGGAUUUAUUGGGUUUAAAGGGAGCGUAGAUGGGUUGUUAAGUCAGUUGUAAAAGUUUGCGGCUCAACCGUAAAAUUGCAAUUGAUACUGGAGGUCUUAGGAAAGGUGGAGUAGGGGGAAAUUGGUGGUGUGGGGGUAAA